rnacentral:lncRNA from 1 species
CUCGGUUCUGUGUAUUUUGGGUUCAUGUGGAAGAAAAUCUGAUUUUUAACCUCCCCCCUUUUUGGCAGCUCCUGGAAGCGCCAACGCCCAAACUUGGGGGCAUUGAGGCACGGAGAGGAAGAAGGAAUAAUAAAAAGCUGAAGUGGCAGAGCUUUUAUUUGGCCUGGGAAACUCUGUCCUGGAUCAAAGGGCCGCCCAGCCCAUCCUGUCCCCACAAUGGGCAGCCCCAGGCUGGCAGGAAGGCUGCGAGGGGGGCAGGGGACAAUUGUGGAAUCCCCUGUCCCCAGGGGAGCCUGGUGCCACCGCUGGCAGCCCCUGAUCCCCCCGUUUAUGGCCCUAUAAAUGAGUUUAUUCCGUGCCAUGAAAGGAGCCCUGCAGAUGUCCUUGUCACACAUCCAAGGGGGAUUUUUUAUUUUCCUUGUCUUUUCUUUGGGAAUCCCAUUAGUAGCUCGUGGUGCCAAUUCCCACAGGUUAACGAGAUGCUGGAUAAAACAGCCCAGUUUUGCAGCUCUAAAGGGCUGAAAACCUCACAGAUUCAAAGUGUUUCAAUCUAUAUCCAUCCCAUCCUUAUCCAAGCAGCCCAAGGAGCAGAUCCCACAACCCCUUCCCAUAUUUCAGGGCCACAGACCCCUCAGGGAGCACAGAGGGAAAUCCAAACCCUCCAAACUCUCUGUGGCUCCAUCCCGGCCUCCCAAAAAUCCUCAAUUUCCUCUGUUUUUUCCUGAGCAUCCAUUUUGUCUGGGGGUGACAGCAGCACUGGGAAUCAGGGCAUGCUCAAGUUACCUCCAGCUGUCACUCAUCACCUGAGUCACACCCGCAGGGAAAACAGGGAAAUAUUUCCUUCCAAAGCCCUCAGGACACCCCAAAAUUCCCCUCCUUUCAUUAAUUAGCCACAGCAGCAAAGCCUUUGCUGGGCUGGGGGAGCACGAAGCCCCUCUCACCCCAGUUUUCCCAAUCCAAUUAAAGGAAUGGCAUUAAUUUGUCCGGCAGGGAGACUUUGAUCCAGAUGGAGAGUGAGAGGGUCCCUGUUUAGCUGAGUUUAUAAAUGUGUGUUUCUAUCUAAAUCUUGAUUUAGCU